rnacentral:rRNA from 1 species
GACGAACGCUGGCGGCGUGCUUAACACAUGCGAGUCGAACGGAAAGGCCCUGCUUUUGUGGGGUGCUCGAGUGGCGAACGGGUGAGUAACACGUGAGUAACCUGCCCUUGACUUUGGGAUAACUUCAGGAAACUGGGGCUAAUACCGGAUAGGAGCUCCUGCUGCAUGGUGGGGGUUGGAAAGUUUCGGCGGUUGGGGAUGGACUCGCGGCUUAUCAGCUUGUUGGUGGGGUAGUGGCUUACCAAGGCUUUGACGGGUAGCCGGCCUGAGAGGGUGACCGGCCACAUUGGGACUGGGAUACGGCCAGACUCCUACGGGAGGCAGCAGUGGGGAAUAUUGCACAAUGGGCGGAAGCCUGAUGCAGCAACGCCGCGUGCGGGAUGACGGCCUUCGGGUUGUAAACCGCUUUCGCCUGUGACGAAGCGUGAGUGACGGUAAUGGGUAAAGAAGCACCGGCUAACUACGUG